rnacentral:ncRNA from 2 species
ACAGUACAAUCUGAUCAGACCUAACGCCGGUAAGAGUAAUCUAUCGCUAAGGAGUCGGGCCUAAUAUGGGCAACGGAUGUAAGAUACAGCAUCUGUGGGACAGUA